UGGGGAAUUUUGGACAAUGGGGGAAACCCUGAUCCAGCCAUCCCGCGUGUGCGAUGAAGGCCUUCGGGUUGUAAAGCACUUUUGGCAGGAAAGAAACGUCGCGGGUUAAUACCCCGCGAAACUGACGGUACCUGCAGAAUAAGCACCGGCUAACUACGUGCCAGCAGCCGCGGUAAUACGUAGGGUGCAAGCGUUAAUCGGAAUUACUGGGCGUAAAGCGUGCGCAGGCGGUUCGGAAAGAAAGAUGUGAAAUCCCAGAGCUUAACUUUGGAACUGCAUUUUUAACUACCGGGCUAGAGUGUGUCAGAGGGAGGUGGAAUUCCGCGUGUAGCAGUGAAAUGCGUAGAUAUGCGGAGGAACACCGAUGGCGAAGGCAGCCUCCUGGGAUAACACUGACGCUCAUGCACGAAAGCGUGGGGAGCAAACAGGAUUAGAUACCCUGGUAGUCCACGCCCUAAAACGAUGUCAACUAGCUGUUGGGGCCUUCGGGCCUUGGUAGCGCAGCUAACGCGUGAAGUUGACCGCCUGGGGAGUACGGUCGCAAGAUUAAAACUCAAAUGAAUUGAC
rnacentral:rRNA from 1 species